rnacentral:rRNA from 1 species
UAGGGAAUCUUCCGCAAUGGGCGAAAGCCUGACGGAGCAACGCCGCGUGAGUGAUGAAGGUCUUCGGAUCGUAAAACUCUGUUAUUAGGGAAGAACAAAUGUGUAAGUAACUAUGCACGUCUUGACGGUACCUAAUCAGAAAGCCACGGCUAACUACGUGCCAGCAGCCGCGGUAAUACGUAGGUGGCAAGCGUUAUCCGGAAUUAUUGGGCGUAAAGCGCGCGUAGGCGGUUUUUUAAGUCUGAUGUGAAAGCCCACGGCUCAACCGUGGAGGGUCAUUGGAAACUGGAAAACUUGGGCGCAGAAGAGGAAAGUGGAAUUCCAUGUGUAGCGGUGAAAUGCGCAGAGAUAUGGAGGAACACCAGUGGCGAAGGCGACUUUCUGGUCUGUAACUGACGCUGAUGUGCGAAAGCGUGGGAAUCAAACAGG